CUACGGGUUGCACCAGUGGGGGAUAUUGCACAAUGGGGGAAACCCUGAUGCAGCAACGCCGCGUGAAGGAAGACGGAUUUCGGUCUGUAAACUUCUAUCAGCUGGGAAGAAAAUGACGGUACCAGACUAAGAAGCCCCGGCUAACUACGUGCCAGCAGCCGCGGUAAUACGUAGGGGGCAAGCGUUAUCCGGAUUUACUGGGUGUAAAGGGUACGUAGGCGGUUAUUUAAGUCAGAUGUGAAAGCCCGGAGCUCAACUCCGGGACUGCAUUUGAAACUGGGUAACUAGAGUACAGGAGAGGAAAGCGGAAUUCCUAGUGUAGCGGUGAAAUGCGUAGAUAUUAGGAAGAACACCAGUGGCGAAGGCGGCUUUCUGGACUGUAACUGACGCUGAGGUACGAAAGCGUGGGGAGCGAACAGGAUUAGAUACCCGCGUAGUC
rnacentral:rRNA from 1 species